UACGAAGGGUGCAAGCGUUAAUCGGAAUUACUGGGCGUAAAGCGUGCGUAGGCGGUUUCUUAAGUCUGCUGUGAAAGCCCUGGGCUCAACCUGGGAGUGGCGGUGGAUACUGAGAAGCUGGAGUACGGUAGAGGAAGGUGGAAUUCCUGGUGUAGCGGUGAAAUGCGUAGAUAUCUGGAGGAACACCGGUGGCGAAGGCGGCAUCCUGGACCGGCAUUGACGCUGAUGAGCGAAAGCCAGGGGAGCAAAC
rnacentral:rRNA from 1 species